CAUUCUUGGUCGGGGUGCCCGCAUGUAGACGGGCUGAGAUGAAACCCGCUGAACCUGAUCCGGUUGGUACCGGCGUAGGAAAUCGAGAUGACCGUUAC
rnacentral:ncRNA from 1 species